rnacentral:rRNA from 1 species
CGAUGAAGCCCUUCGGGGUGGAUUAGUGGCGAACGGGUGAGUAACACGUGGGCAAUCUGCCCUUCACUCUGGGACAAGCCCUGGAAACGGGGUCUAAUACCGGAUAACACUCCUGCCUGCAUGGGCGGGGGUUAAAAGCUCCGGCGGUGAAGGAUGAGCCCGCGGCCUAUCAGCUUGUUGGUGGGGUAAUGGCCCACCAAGGCGACGACGGGUAGCCGGCCUGAGAGGGCGACCGGCCACACUGGGACUGAGACACGGCCCAGACUCCUACGGGAGGCAGCAGUGGGGAAUAUUGCACAAUGGGCGAAAGCCUGAUGCAGCGACGCCGCGUGAGGGAUGACGGCCUUCGGGUUGUAAACCUCUUUCAGCAGGGAAGAAGCGAAAGUGACGGUACCUGCAGAAGAAGCGCCGGCUAACUACGUGCCAGCAGCCGCGGUAAUACGUAGGGCGCAAGCGUUGUCCGGAAUUAUUGGGCGUAAAGAGCUCGUAGGCGGCUUGUCACGUCGGAUGUGAAAGCCCGAGGCUUAACCUCGGGUCUGCAUUCGAUACGGGCUAGCUAGAGUGUGGUAGGGGAGAUCGGAAUUCCGG